UACGGGGGGAGCAAGCGUUGUUCGGAUUUACUGGGCGUAAAGGGCGCGUAGGCGGUCAGCACAAGUCAGUUGUGAAAUCUCCGGGCUUAACUCGGAAAGGUCAACUGAUACUGUGCGACUAGAGUGCAGAAGGGGCAACUGGAAUUCUCGGUGUAGCGGUGAAAUGCGUAGAUAUCGAGAGGAACACCUGCGGCGAAGGCGGGUUGCUGGGCUGACACUGACGCUGAUGCGCGAAAGCCGGGAG
rnacentral:rRNA from 1 species